rnacentral:misc_RNA from 1 species
GAUGAAGAACGUAGCGAAAUGCGAUAAGUAUUGUGAAUUGCAGAAUUCAGUGAAUCAUCGAAUCUUUGAACGCACAUUGCGCCCAUUAGUAUUCUAGUGGGCAUGCCUGUUCGAGCGUCAUUAAGUCCACUUAAGCCCUGCUUAGUGUUGGGAGACUGCUCCAGCGGUGCUACCCUGUAGCUACCCUGCAGCUCCUCAAAGACAGCGGCGGAGUUGUGGUAUCCUCUGAGCUUAGUAACUUGUUCUAGCUUUCGAGUACACCACUUCCCCUGCCGUAAAACCCUUAAUUUUUAAUGGUUGACCUCGGAUCAGGUAGGAAUACCCGCUGAACUUAAGCAUAUCAAUAAGCGGAGGA